AUGGCCUGGACCCCCCUCCUCCUCGGCCUCCUGGCUCACUGCACAGGCUCCGUGGCCUCCUAUGAGCUGACUCAGCCACCUGCGGUGUCCGUGUCCUUGGGACAGACGUCCAAGAUCACCUGCUCUGGAGACUUACUGGACAAAAAAUAUACAUCUUGGCACCAGCAGAAGCCAGGCCAGGCCCCUGUGCUGGUCAUUUAUCAGGAUAGCAAGCGACCCUCAGGGAUCCCUGACCGAUUCUCUGGUUCCAGCUCAGGCAAAAUUGCCACCCUGACCAUCAGCGGGGCCCGGGCCGAGGACGAGGCUGACUAUUACUGUGGGUCAGCUGACAGCACCUCCCACGCUUCCAUCCAGAGAUCACACUCAACACUAUGCAUGCAGCAUUCAGAGUGA